UCCAGUAGGGCUGGAUGAAGACCACCACGCUGAUGAUGGCGAAGCAGAUGGUGAAGAUGGCCCAGAGCACCCCGAUGGCCCGCGAGUUCCGCGUGUAGUUGUCAUGUCGUCCCUGCAGUUCAGGCUGAACCUAUCCCACUCUGGCCUCGCCAGGACACAAGGCAAGGCUGGUCCACGUUAGAAGCGCUGCGUCGGGUGAAAAUGCUCUAUGCCGAGGGGAGAGAGCUCCCGUCGGAGAGGUGGUAGCUGUCUUGAUGGGAGCAACUCUCCCCAGACCUACUGCUGAGAACCCUCUCAACCCACACCUGGAUCCCCCCCCACUAAGAUCCUGCCUUGCUGAGCUGCCUGCCCACACCUGGAUCCCCCCACGA